rnacentral:tRNA from 1 species
GCAUCGGUGGUUCAGUGGUAGAAUUCUCGCCUUCCAUGCGAGAGACCCAGGUUCAAUUCCCGGCCCGUGCA